rnacentral:lncRNA from 1 species
GUAUACAUAUAUGUUGAAUUACAUAUUAUUGUUGAGCAAGAUUAAAAACCUUCGGGUUUGGAACCAGGCAUGUAUGAACAUCCCGAUAAUGGGAAAAUUUUUAUGCGCUUCGGCGGACAAAGGGUGAACGAUGAAUUUCGUUAAGGUUAUGUAGUAUUGAUCAAUAUAGGGUACAACGGGGCUGAUCACCCUCCGUGCCCGUAAGUUAUGACGGUUUGCGGAUGAAUUUCUGCUAAACCUUUUCGAAAAUGAAAAAAAACCAUGUUCAUAGUAUGUUUCUUAAACCCUAUUCAUGGGUGGAGCCUAAUUUCAAGAAAUUGAAAGAGAGUUGUUAUGUGAAUCUUUUAUCAGUAUAGAUUACUUCACAACUUUUGAUUCGUUGUUGAAGUGUUAUGUAAAGAGAAUACUUAUAUUCUUUCAGCUUAUAUAUAUAAUUGCUAUUACUUGCUGGGCACUCAAAUGCUCAUCCUUGCUUAAAUUAAAUGUUUUCAGUUAUGUAUGAGCAACCUGAAUGCUCAGGAACGAACAAGGGGAAAGGAAAGCUGUUCGAAUGAGUUUAUAUUAUGAGUUAAUGAUUAUAGUUAGUAAGACAAUGAAAUCUAUUGUCAGGUAUUGUAAGGAAUGUAUUUGAAGGUCACGUACCUGGGGAAGUAAACUUUGAUGUAUGUAAAUUAAGUUCGAAUGUAUUAUUAUUUAGUAUUAUUCAGCUUAAAGAAAUGGUAUCGUGGAGAACCGAGUUCGGGUUUCAAGUACCUGGAUUUGGGGUCGCCACAUGAGUGCCUCGGCAGGAGGUCUGAGAUUAAAGAUGAUCGCAUUUGAAACAAGUAUUUCUGGGGUUAUUGUCGGAAUUAUAACAACAUUCCUUGGGGUUAUCGCCAAGGACGAAACUCGGGGUUAUCUCUGAGGUUGGAAAUGAUGUUUCCGGUGUGUGUUGCGGAUUUGAGAAUGAUACUCCCGGUAUGUGUUCCGGGGUUGAGACUGAACUUCCGGCAGUAUCUGGAAUGGAUGUGAACUGUCUUCUAGGGUUAUCUCUGAAAGACGAUUCUGCCCUCCUGCAAUGUUAGUAAUAGGGGUGCAGAAAAUUUUGAGUGUCUACAGAUGCCCCUCUUUAUCAUAUUCAUGCAAUGCAAGGCAUGGAUAGGAUAAAGAAUCCUAGACACUAGAAAUGCAACAGAUAAACAUGAUGCUAAAUGCAGUAACAUGAUACAAAUGUAUGAAUGAGAUGAUUACCGGUUCCCUAUUAAUUCUGUUGGGAUGACAAUCAGUGAUGUCUUGGACAUGUGAUCCAAGUCUUCAAGGAUGUUUGACGUUGG